CCUACGGGAGGCAGCAGUGAGGAAUAUUGGUCAAUGGACGCAAGUCUGAACCAGCCAUGCCGCGUGCAGGAAGACGGCUCUAUGAGUUGUAAACUGCUUUUGUACGAGGGUAAACGCAGAUACGUGUAUCUGUCUGAAAGUAUCGUACGAAUAAGGAUCGGCUAACUCCGUGCCAGCAGCCGCGGUAAUACGGAGGAUUCAAGCGUUAUCCGGAUUUAUUGGGUUUAAAGGGAGCGUAGGCGGGCGGAUAAGUUAGAGGUGAAAUCCCGAGGCUCAACUUCGGAAUUGCAUUUGAUACUGGCAGGCUAGAGAGUAGUUGCGGUAGGCGGAAUUUGUGGUGUAGCGGUGAAAUGCUUAGAGAUCAGGAAGAACACCGAUUGCGAAGGCAGCUUACCAAGCUACUACUGACGUUGAGGCGCGAAAGCGUGGGGAGCAAACAGGAUUAGAUACCCUGGUAGUC
rnacentral:rRNA from 1 species